GGGUUUGAUUCUGGCUCAGAGCGAACGCUGGCGGCGUGUCUGAUUCAUGCAAGUCGAACGGAAAGGCCCCUUCGGGGGCGCUCGAGUGGCGAAAGGCCGAGUAACGCAUGGGUAACAUGCCCCUGAGAUCGGGAUAACUUCGCGAAAGCGAUGCUAAUACCGGGUACGUUCACCCCUCGCAUGGGGGGUGAAGAAAGGCGGGGACCCUUCGGGGCCCGUCACUCAGGGAUUGGCCCAUGUCCUAUUAGCUAGUUGGUGGGGUAACGGCCCACCAAGGCAUAGAUGGGUAGCCGACCUGAGAGGGUGAUCGGCCGGACUGGGACUGAGAUACUGCCCAGACUCCUACGGGAGGCAGCAGAGGAGAAUCAUCCACAAUGGGCGAAAGCCUGAUGGUGCGACGCCGCGUGGGGGAUGAAGGCCUUAGGGUUGUAAACCCCUGUUGAGAACAAGGAAUGCAUGGAGGGUUAAUACCCCUCUUUGUUGACCUAUUCUUGAGGAAGCUCCGGCUAACUCCGUGCCAGCAGCCGCGGUAAGACGGAGGGAGCAAGCGUUGCUCGGAAUCACUGGGCGUAAAGGGCGUGUAGGCGGAUUGGCAAGUCAAGUGUGAAAUGCCUCGGCUCAACCGAGGAACUGCGCUUGAAACUGCUUGUCUUGAGUGUGGGAGGGGAGAGCGGAACUCCUGGUGGAGCGGUGAAAUGCGUAGAUAUCAGGAGGAACGCCGGUGGCGAAAGCGGCUCUCUGGUCCACAACUGACGCUGAGGCGCGAAAGCCAGGGUAGCGAACGGGAUUAGAUACCCCGGUAGUCCUGGCCCUAAACGAUGGGCGCUAGGUAGAUGGGACUUCGGUUCUGUCUGCCGUAGCUAACGUGUUAAGCGCCCCGCCUGGGGAGUAUGGUCGCAAGGCUAAAACUCAAAGAAAUUGACGGGGGCUCGCACAAGCGGUGGAGGAUGUGGCUUAAUUCGAGUCAACGCGAAGAACCUUACCGGGGUUUGACAUGUAUGUGGUACGAACCCGAAAGGGCAAGGACCCGAUUUUAUCGGGAGCAUACACAGGUGUUGCAUGGCUGUCGUCAGCUCGUGUCGUGAGAUGUUGGGUUAAGUCCCUCAACGAGCGAAACCCUUAUCCUUAGUUGCCAGCGCGUCAUGGCGGGGACUCUAAGGAGACUGCCGGUGUUAAACCGGAGGAAGGUGGGGAUGACGUCAAGUCCUCAUGGCCCUUACGCCCCGGGCUGCACACGUCCUACAAUGGUCGGUACAAAGGGAUGCAAGACCGCGAGGUGGAGCAAACCCCAAAAAGCCGGCCUCAGUUCGGAUCGCAGGCUGCAAUUCGCCUGCGUGAAGCCGGAAUCGCUAGUAAUCGCGUAUCAGCAUGACGCGGUGAAUAUGUUCCCGAGCCUUGUAC
rnacentral:rRNA from 1 species